UACGGAGGGGGCUAGCGUUGUUCGGAAUUACUGGGCGUAAAGCGCACGUAGGCGGCUUUGUAAGUUAGAGGUGAAAGCCCGGGGCUCAACUCCGGAAUUGCCUUUAAGACUGCAUCGCUAGAAUUGUGGAGAGGUAAGUGGAAUUCCGAGUGUAGAGGUGAAAUUGGUAGAUAUUCGGAAGAACACCAGUGGCGAAGGCGACUUACUGGACACAUAUUGACGCUGAGGUGCGAAAGCGUGGGGAGCAAACAGG
rnacentral:rRNA from 1 species